AUGUGUCCGGUCCAGGAGAGGGAUUACCCGCGUCUGACGGUUGAUGAAAGAGGCGUGUCCUGUGACUGUCCUCCGAGUGGACAUGUCCUCAUGAAUGAAGUGGCACUAUUACGGAUAGACACUAGAGGGCGCCAGAGCACCGGAGCUGACGAGCAUCCUCACCAUCCUCACUCCCAGCCUGAGCGCAGCCUCUCGGUGCGUCCUGCUCCAGGCAGCCGCUCUCUUUCACACCUCCUUGUUUUGGGACAGCAGCCCCAGGACCCGGGGCCUCAUGCCCGCUCACCCCGCCGUGUCUUCGCCGGCAUAGAGAGGGGGCAUAGGCGGGCACAGAGAUGUCUGCGCCUGGGUACAGCAGCAGCACCGGCUCCACGGCCAACGGCCCGACACAGAGCUACCCGCAGAUGUACCCGCCACCGUCCGCCGGAUACUACGGAGCCCCUCCUCCUCAGAGCUACCCCAGCAAACCCCCGCUCUCCAGCACCACCCACUCUCCGCACUACUACCAGAACAGCCACCCACCGCCACAGUCGCAUCACCCCCCGCCAUCCCAGGCCUACCCUUCUACGGCGCCCCAUCCAGCCCGCAGUACGGUCAGCAGCCGUUCCCGCCGCAGCAGCCCCCUUACGGCACUCCUCCGGGUUCCUACUACGGACACCAGCCGUACCCUGGCCCCCCACCCCCGCAGCAAUACCCCGUGACGCCUGCCCCGGGGAACUACCUACCCCCUGCCCCGGGGAGCGGUCAGUACGCCGCCCCUCAGAGCGCCGUGGGUGGGGGGCCGCCUGUUCAGAUGGGCGCCCCCCUGCAUCAGUACAGCCCCGCACAGGCCCCGCGGGUGUACGCCAGCGCCCCAGGUCAGCAGCAGACGACCGCGGUCAACGGGCAGCAACACGGCACAGCCCCGCAGAGCUUUAA
rnacentral:lncRNA from 1 species